CCCUUAGAUGUUCUGGGCCGCACGCGCGCUACACUGUUUGAUUCAGCGAGUCUUAACCUUGACCGAAAGGUUUGGGUAAUCUUCUAAAGUCAAACGUGAUGGGGAUCGAUCAUUGCAAUUAUUGAUCGUGUACGAGGAAUUCCUAGUAAAUGCAAGUCAUCAGCUUGCGUUGAUUACGUCCCUGCCCUUUGUACACACCGCCCGUCGCUACUACCGAUUGAAUGGUUUAGUGGGAUCUCCGGAUUGGCUCUGUAGGUCCCGCAAGGGAUUUAUUAGUAGCCAAGAAGCUGCUCAAACUUGAUCAUUUAGAGGAAGUAAAAGUCGUAACA
rnacentral:rRNA from 1 species